CCUACGGGUGACAGCAGUGAGGAAUAUUGGUCAAUGGACGAGAGUCUGAACCAGCCAAGUAGCGUGAAGGAUGACUGCCCUAUGGGUUGUAAACUUCUUUUAUAUGGGAAUAAAAUGUUCCACGUGUGGGAUUUUGUAUGUACCAUAUGAAUAAGGAUCGGCUAACUCCGUGCCAGCAGCCGCGGUAAUACGGAGGAUCCGAGCGUUAUCCGGAUUUAUUGGGUUUAAAGGGAGCGUAGGUGGAUUGUUAAGUCAGUUGUGAAAGUUUGCGGCUCAACCGUAAAAUUGCAGUUGAAACUGGCAGUCUUGAGUACAGUAGGGGUGGGCGGAAUUCGUGGUGUAGCGGUGAAAUGCUUAGAUAUCACGAAGAACUCCGAUUGCGAAGGCAGUUCACUGGACUGCAACUGACACUGAGGCUCGAAAGUGUGGGUAUCAAACAGGAUUAGAUACCCUGGUAGUC
rnacentral:rRNA from 1 species